rnacentral:tRNA from 1 species
GACUUCGUGGUAUAAUUGGAAGCACAUCCGGCUAGCAGUCGGAAAGUUCAGAGUUCGAAUCUCGGCCAAGACA